rnacentral:antisense_RNA from 1 species
UGUCUGCCCCUGGAUCAGACCCAGACAGGGAGGGGCUGCUGAUGCUGGUAGAGACAGAGCUGAGACCACAGUCCUGCCCUCUCCUCCAGCCCCUACCCAGCCCCGCCCUGUUGGCUCAUGCCCACAACUACUUAACUUCUUGAGCUGCUUGAGGUUGCUGGAGCGGAUGGCGGCCAAUAGCUGGUCACGGGAGUUCUUCUCCUGGGCAGGGAGGACUUUGUCUCCCAUCUUCCUCUGCGUAGCUGAUGUGUCGCUGGUUGUGGAAGCGGAGCUCGGUCAGCGUGUUGUUCUGGAGGAGGGCCCGGAAAAUGGCCAGGAUGCCUUUGCCUGUGAUGUGGUUGGAGUCCAGGUUGAGGCUGGUGAUGGUCUUGUUGGCCUUGAGCAUGAUGGCAAUGGCAAAGGCCACGUGGUCAUCGGCUCGCGUGUUGGCCAAGGCGAACACCUUAACCACAGUGUUGAACUCCAGAGCCUCAGUAAACCGGACCAAGAUCUCA